CCUACGGGAGGCAGCAGUGAGGAAUAUUGGUCAAUGGACGAGAGUCUGAACCAGCCAAGUAGCGUGAAGGAUGACUGCCCUAUGGGUUGUAAACUUCUUUUAUAUGGGAAUAAAAUGUUCCACGUGUGGGUUUUUGUCUGUACCAUAUGAAUAAGGAUCGGCUAACUCCGUGCCAGCAGCCGCGGUAAUACGGAGGAUCCGCGCGUUAUCCGGAUUUAUUGGGUUUAAAGGGAGCGUAGGUGGAUUGUUAAGUCAGUUGUGAAAGUUUGCGGCUCAACCGUAAAAUUGCAGUUGAAACUGGCAGUCUUGAGUACAGUAGAGGUGGGCGGAAUUCGUGGUGUAGCGGUGAAAUGCUUAGAUAUCACGAAGAACUCCGAUUGCGAAGGCAGUUCACUGGACUGCAACUGACACUCAGGCACGAAGGCGUGGGUAUCGAACAGGAUUAGAUACCCGAGUAGUC
rnacentral:rRNA from 1 species